UACGUAGGGUGCGAGCGUUGUCCGGAAUUAUUGGGCGUAAAGGGCUCGUAGGCGGUUUGUCGCGUCGGGAGUGAAAACCCAGGGCUUAACUCUGGGCUUGCUUUCGAUACGGGCAGACUAGAGGCAUGCAGGGGAGAACGGAAUUCCUGGUGUAGCGGUGAAAUGCGCAGAUAUCAGGAGGAACACCGGUGGCGAAGGCGGAUCUCUGGGCCUUACCUGACGCUGAGGCGCGAAAGCUAGGGGAGCGAACAGG
rnacentral:rRNA from 1 species